rnacentral:lncRNA from 1 species
UAUUUUUGGUAUAAUAUAAAUUGAAGGAUAAACUUUAAAUACCAUUCACGUGGUUUCAAACUUUUUUACUUUAAUACCAUGUAGUUUAAAGUGUAUUAAUUUAGUAUUAUGUUGUUUCAUUUUUCUCUUUUCGUCAGCCCUCUGCUAACAUUUCAUUAAAUCGUGUACAAAAAACUUCAGAUACUCUACCUAAGUUCAUCGAAUAUUCACUUUAGUACUUUUUAGUUUUAACUUUAUUACUGAUUAACGAAAAAAAAUUAGUGGAGGGAUAAUAAAAAGAAUAAAAUGAAACCAUAAGGUACGAAAGUGAUAUAUUUUAAACUAUAGGGUACUAAAGUGAAAAAGUACGAAACUAUUGGGAUGGUAUUUGAAGUUUUUUCUAGAUUGAAAGAUACUUUACUUGUCAUUC